rnacentral:rRNA from 1 species
AACGAACGCUGGCGGCAUGCCUAACACAUGCAAGUCGAACGAAGCCUUCGGGCUUAGUGGCGCACGGGUGCGUAACGCGUGGGAAUCUGCCCUUGGGUUCGGAAUAACAGUUAGAAAUGACUGCUAAUACCGGAUGAUGUCUUCGGACCAAAGAUUUAUCGCCCAAGGAUGAGCCCGUGUAGGAUUAGGUAGUUGGUGGGGUAAUGGCUCACCAAGCCGACGAUCCUUAGCUGGUCGGAGAGGAUGAUCAGCCACACUGGGACUGAGACACGGCCCAGACUCCUACGGGAGGCAGCAGUGGGGAAUAUUGGACAAUGGGCGAAAGCCUGAUCCAGCAAUGCCGCGUGAGUGAUGAAGGCCUUAGGGUUGUAAAGCUCUUUUACCAGGGAUGAUAAUGACAGUACCUGGAGAAUAAGCUCCGGCUAACUCCGUGCCAGCCGCCGCGGUAA